UGCAAGUCGAACGGUAGCACAGAGAGCUUGCUCUCGGGUGACGAGUGGCGGACGGGUGAGUAAUGUCUGGGAAACUGCCUGAUGGAGGGGGAUAACUACUGGAAACGGUAGCUAAUACCGCAUAACGUCGCAAGACCAAAGAGGGGGACCUUCGGGCCUCUUGCCAUCAGAUGUGCCCAGAUGGGAUUAGCUAGUAGGUGGGGUAACGGCUCACCUAGGCGACGAUCCCUAGCUGGUCUGAGAGGAUGACCAGCCACACUGGAACUGAGACACGGUCCAGACUCCUACGGGAGGCAGCAGUGGGGAAUAUUGCACAAUGGGCGCAAGCCUGAUGCAGCCAUGCCGCGUGUAUGAAGAAGGCCUUCGGGUUGUAAAGUACUUUCAGCGGGGAGGAAGGUGUUGUGGUUAAUAACCACAGCAAUUGACGUUACCCGCAGAAGAAGCACCGGCUAACUCCGUGCCAGCAGCCGCGGUAAUACGGAGGGUGCAAGCGUUAAUCGGAAUUACUGGGCGUAAAGCGCACGCAGGCGGUCUGUCAAGUCGGAUGUGAAAUCCCCGGGCUCAACCUGGGAACUGCAUUCGAAACUGGCAGGCUAGAGUCUUGUAGAGGGGGGUA
rnacentral:rRNA from 1 species